AUCGCUUCUCGGCCUUUUGGCUAAGAUCAAAGUGCAGUAACCAACUUAGUUACAUUAUUACUAAACCUGUUUGAUGUUGAUAUAGUUUAUUUAACAUUGUAAUCUUUGAAGUUUUGUAUUGAGCUUUGCCUUGAGUUUGAGUUCUUAUGGUUAAACCUUACGAUG
rnacentral:snRNA from 1 species